rnacentral:rRNA from 1 species
UAGGGAAUCUUCCACAAUGGACGCAAGUCUGAUGGAGCAACGCCGCGUGAGUGAAGAAGGUUUUCGGAUCGUAAAGCUCUGUUGUUGGUGAAGAAGGAUAGAGGCAGUAACUGGUCUUUAUUUGACGGUAAUCAACCAGAAAGUCACGGCUAACUACGUGCCAGCAGCCGCGGUAAUACGUAGGUGGCAAGCGUUGUCCGGAUUUAUUUGGCGUAAAGCGAGCGCAGGCGGAAUGAUAAGUCUGAUGUGAAAGCCCACGGCUCAACCGUGGAACUGCAUCGGAAACUGUCAUUCUUGAGUGCAGAAGAGUAGAGUGGAAUUCCAUGUGUAGCGGUGGAAUGCGCAGAUAUAUGGAAGAACACCAGUGGCGAAGGCGGCUCUCUGGUCUGCAACUGACGCUGAGGCUCGAAAGCAUGGGUAGCGAACAGG